rnacentral:rRNA from 1 species
GACGUAGGGCGCGAGCGUUGUCCGGAUUUACUGGGCGUAAAGAGCGCGCAGGCGGUCGUACAAGUCGCGUGUGAAAGCCCCCGGCUUAACUGGGGAGGGUCACGCGAUACUGUUCGACUCGAAGGCAGGAGAGGGAAGCGGAAUUCCCGGUGUAGUGGUGAAAUGCGUAGAUAUCGGGAGGAACACCAGUGGCGAAGGCGGCUUCCUGGCCUGUUCUUGACGCUGAGGCGCGAAAGCGUGGGGAGCGAACAGG